UUGCACGCUGGCGGCAUGCCUUACACAUGCAAGUCGAACGGUAACAGGUCUUCGGAUGCUGACGAGUGGCGAACGGGUGAGUAAUACAUCGGAACGUGCCCGAUCGUGGGGGAUAACGAAGCGAAAGCUUUGCUAAUACCGCAUACGAUCUACGGAUGAAAGCAGGGGACCGCAAGGCCUUGCGCGAACGGAGCGGCCGAUGGCAGAUUAGGUAGUUGGUGGGAUAAAAGCUUACCAAGCCGACGAUCUGUAGCUGGUCUGAGAGGACGACCAGCCACACUGGGACUGAGACACGGCCCAGACUCCUACGGGAGGCAGCAGUGGGGAAUUUUGGACAAUGGGCGAAAGCCUGAUCCAGUCAUGCCGCGUGCAGGAUGAAGGCCUUCGGGUUGUAAACUGCUUUUGUACGGAACGAAAAGACUCUGGUUAAUACCUGGGGUCCAUGACGGUACCGUAAGAAUAAGCACCGGCUAACUACGUG
rnacentral:rRNA from 1 species